rnacentral:rRNA from 1 species
GACGAACGCUGGCGGCGUGCCUAAUACAUGCAAGUCGAACGCAGUGGGGACAGGUGAUUAACACGUGGGUAACCUCCCAUCAGAGGGGAUAACACUUGGAAACAGGUGCUAAACCGAUACUGGAUUCUGGACCCGCGGUGCAUUAGCUAGUUGGUGAGGUAAAGGCUCACCAAGGCCACGAUGCAUAGCCGACAUGAGAGGGUGAUCAGCCACACUGGGACUGAGACACGGCCCAGACUCCUACGGGAGGCAGCAGUAGGGAAUCUUCGGCAAUGGACGAAAGCCUGACCGAGCCACGCCGCGUGAGUGAAGAAGGUUUUCGGAUCGUAAAACUCUGUUGUUAGAGAAGCGGUAUCUAACCAGAAAGCCACGGCUAACUACGUGCCAGCAGCCGCGGUAAUAC